GUAAUAGAAGAAGCAAAACGACUACGACGACGACAGGUGGACAAGCUUUUACGCAACAUCGGAUUUUUUCAGUGAAAGUUUUCGCUAUAACGCGUCGAGUUUUUCUUCUUCUUCGCGAUUACGUAUUCCCAAAAUUCUUUAAAAAUAUGUCGGUCAAUGCCAUCACGUCGCGCACCAGUACAGAGCGUUCGAAAAAAAUCAUAACGUUGCCGAGCCGCUAUUCCCAAAAUUCUUAAAAAAUGAAGAGUGAUUUGGCACGAAGAUGGUUUUUAGUAACGCGACAGGUGACAGUUUGUCCUAGCAGGCCAUAAACUAACCAAAAACGACCCGAUCCCACUUCUGACUUCAGUGAAACCCGUCCUGUUAGUUAAUGGCAAUGCGAAUCGAGGAUGAUAUGACUGUAGCCCACAAGCUGUUCGACCUAUCAAUCUGAUAGAUAUCUGUCGCCACGUAUAGUCCGUCUCAAUCUUCAUCGUGUUGGCGUUCGAGUGAACCUACCCGAUAAAACUUUAACGACGUUAUUACCUAUUGUCAUUAGGUUACAGGCGUUAAUAAAAAAUUAUUCUUACUUGAGUGACAAGGCAGGAGUGGGCCGGGUAUGUUACUUUAUUUCUGAUAUAUUCCUUGAGUGUUGACCGUUUAUGGCAGUGGUCAAUAAUCCUUUUUACAGGUCGUGAAAAAUGGGUGUGAACCUUUCAUCAGUAGAGGACUUAUUAAACAAGAUUGCUUUCGAUAAAUUGUCACUGGGCGGGGCAAGUUCGUAGUCGUUUCGCGUUUUCUUCUGCUAGCUUUUCUAUGGUACUCCUGCGGACCACUAUGGAACUGUAUACAGCAUCUUUCACGUAUCGCCGAAUGUCAAAGUCACGACAAACUUUGACAGAUAUGAAAAAAUACGCAAGUAAUAACGAUUUCUAAUGACAUUAUUCGAAAUUCUCGCGCGCCCUGUAUGAUAGACGAAACCUGAACCUCUCUCGAUACGGUUUACGACCGUGUUUAAACCAAAUUAUCCCAUGUUUUAUAGUUUUUCAUUUACGACUAACAAUUUAUCGACGAAAACGGCAAUUUUCAGGGUCUUUUAGAUUUUUUUUACCCACCCACGACACACCCUGUACAUAUACGGAUUAUAACCCUGAAUCUUCCACGUUUCCUGGUCUAAGAAUUUUUCCAAAAUAGUAAAUGGUUUCCGAGAAAAUAAGUUUUGUCUGAAACCAUGCAGUGCAUCGUAAUAAUCAAUGACGUCAUCGCGCCCUCACUGAGCCCACGGAAUAGUGAUUUGCAUAUGGAUUUUUUCAAAUAUCUCGAGCAGCGUGUGUGAUAGACAAAAACCGCAAAUACAAAAAUGUAGCUGUUGAUGUGGCCUAUGACGCUGUAUGGAUCAAUUAGCCAUAUUUUUAAAUUGGCGGUUACUAAUUUACUCUGGAAAAGAACAAUUUUUUGUUUUUUUUUUUCUUUUUAAUUUUUUAAAAUUUAUUGGAAGCCAUGGAGAUUAACAAAAUGAGACAUUCAAAUGUAUUGGUUAACGAUCAAUUAGAUUCAAAUACCUCUCCAUUAUUGAACUUAAAUUCUCAUAACAACCUUAAUUAAGGUUUUAUUGUCAUUUUUCGGUAUAUAUAGUAGCAGGUAAUUUGUAAAUAUUACAUUUGAUAAAGUCACGGUGUUGUCGAAACAAUUGUCAUGUGAAUAUAAACCAUUUCGUGAAAAUCUGAACUAUCAGUUCUUAUUUAUUUUGCUUUAGUUUAGUUUAAAAAUAAUGCAAUAAUAAUGCCCAAGGACCGCGGGAAAUCUCGCCUAAUAAUUUAUAGAUUUUUAAUUUGAGCAACACCUCUUGCCGAAACGUGCGUCGACUACAUAUUUUAAUUAAUCGCAAACAAUUGCACGCUUCUAACACUUUGCGAAAAUUAACGCGGAGUACAAUUAUUACGGCGCCGUUGCCAAAUAUCCUGACCCAAUUCGGUCGGCGGCGCGGUUAAAAUGGCGUGGCGAAUGUUGUUUUUUUUCUCGGUUGCCCAACCCGUCUCUCGCGGGCGGCAAAAAAGAAAAUUACGACGGAAGUAAUCCCCCCCACCCCGCCAUUAUUCCAGUGCAAUAACACACCCAGCAAUCGUAUACAGGGUCUGACGUUUAUGAAAAAAAAUCUAAAACAUUCUAAACAUUUCCGUAAGGUAAAUUAUUGCCGAUAAAUGAAAAGCUGCUAAAGGUCCGUUUAUUUCAUUUGAACAGCAUCGUAAAAUGUGUCGAGAGAGAGUUUCAUACAUUGCGCACGAAAUAUUUGAAACGCGGCAACGCUAUUAUUUGUACAAAUUUAAUUAUUUAACAAAGUUUGCCGUAACUUUGAAGUUCGGCGAGACCUGAAAGACACUUUAUACAGGGUGUAUGCACAAUAAAAUUACAUAGAUUUUGCGCAAGUGGUCCGCAGGAGCACGAUAGAAAAGCGAUGCGUUUAUUUACCACAAUAAACCGCGAAGCUCUUGUUACUUUCGAAAAUCGAUGAAAUCGAAUUUUUCGAAAGUAUCUACGCUCGUAUAAAAAUUUUGUGUCUCGGUAACGGUAGGUCCUAUGGGAUCGCCGUUGGUACAGAAAUGAUCACCGCGUGUAUGCACAAUAAAAUUACAUCGAUUUUGCGAAAGUUCCAUAGUGGUCCGCAGGAGCACGAUAGAAAAACAAUGCGCCCCUCUAGGACAAGAAUCCGCGAAUCUCUUUCCUUUUAAAAGAAAAAGCUGUUUCGCGCGAAAGCAAUCUUGUUAUUAAUGCUAUGCAGAGCCCUAUCGAUGUUGUUCACGGCACGCAUACAGAUAUAGGGUGUUUUUUUCGAUGUAUAGAACUUUAAGUUGGCAUUACUGUUCAAGAUCGCGACCGAUUUAACAGCUGUCAAGUGAUUUAUUCUCAGUUUGGUUUGGCAAUUCAUCAUGAAUAGACUCACACCUGAACAGCUCUUGCAAAUAGUGCAAUUUUAUUUCAAAAAUGAUGGUACCGUGCGGAAUACGUAUCGCGCACUACGUAAAUUUUAUCGUCGAAAAAAUCGCAGUUAAUUCGAUUAACCAUGGAACGUUUUCGCACCACGUUUAUUCUUAUUGAUAAUUCGCAUCCCCAGAGACGCCGUACGGUGCGUACAGAAGAAGCUAUUGCUGCUGUAGAGCGUAGCAUUGAGGAAGGCCCGAAUGAGUCCGUCCGCCAUCGAGCACAGGAAUUGGAUCCGUGUCCAUCCACUUUAUGGAAGAUUUUGCGGAAGGAUCUUGGUUUACGUGCUUACAAAAUCCAACUCCUGCAAGAAUUGAAGCCAAACGAUCAUCAAGUAAGGCGUAGAUCCGUCGAAUGGACACAAAACGAGAUUGCCGUUGUUCCCGAAUUUUGUUUAGCGAUGAAGCGCACUUCUGGUUGAAUGGCUACGUCAACAAACAAAACUGCGGCAUUUGGAGCGAACCUAAUCCUCAAGUGUAUGUCGAAACACCGUUACAUCCAGAAAAACUGACUGUUUGGUGCGCUUUAUGGGCUGGUGGAAUCAUUGGUCCGUAAUUCUUCAAAAACGAUGACGGCCAGAACGUUACAGUCAAUGCUGAUCGGUAUAGAGCUAUGAUUACUAACUCUUUCAUUCCUGAAUUGAAUAACUAUAAUGUCCAGGAGAUGUGGUUUCAACAAGACGGCGCAACAUGUCACACAGCUCGUGCCACAAUCGAUUUAUUGAAAGACGCGUUUGGUGACCGCCUAAUUUUACGUUUUGGACAUCUGAAUUGGCCUUCAGGAUCUUGUGAUUUAACACCGCUAGACUACUUUCUGUGGGGCUAUGUAAAGUCAUUGGUCUAUGCGGAUAAGCCACAAACGCUUAACCAUUUGGAAGACAACAUUCGCCGUGUUAUUGCCGAUAUACGGCCACAAAUGUGGGAAAAAGUCAUCGAAAAUUGGACCUCCAAAUUGGAGUACAUCCGCGCCAGCCGUGGCGGUCAUAUGCCAGAAAUCAUAUUUAAAAUGUAAUGCCACAAGAUUAUCUUUCGGAUAAAUAAAAUUCAUGUCAAUCGAAUAAUCCGUGGUUGUUUUAUUGCAACUUAAAGUUCCAUACAUCGAAAAAAAACAUCAUAUGGAUCAUAUCAAUUAGUCUCGUAAUAAUUUAUUUUAGUUAAAAUAUUUAGGAUCGAAAUUUAUGGAAUUAUUCACUUUUAUCAACACCUGGCUAUAAAAAUCCGACUUAUCCUAAACCGGAUUCCGAAAUUACCUAAAAUUAGCAAACGGGUAUUUGGAUUACAUAAUAUAAUCCGAGGCGAACGCGAAUUUUCAGACGCGUUAUUAUCUAACGCAGAAAACGCGAGUCGAAAAUUAAAGCGACGACGUUUUCGCACCUUCCUGUAGUGUGACGAGCUUUUCAAUUCCCCAACGCGAUGCGAAUCGGUUGCAAAAUCGAAAAUGACGUAAGCCCGCCACCUGCUCGUCCGACUUUUGUCUUCUCGGACGCGUCAAAUCCGAACGACAGUUUAAAUAUUUAUUUAAAAAUUGAAAAACCGAUAAAAACUCGCGAUUUGAAUAUUUGACCUCAGCUUAAAGCGCUCCGAUCAAGGUUAAAACCAACCAUUGAUCGUCCGUUCCUUGCGGUAUGGCGGAAGUCGGAAAACACGUACACCGUGUGCCAAACAAAACGACCCACGAUAGGAUCCGGAAACCCAUAGGAGAUAUGAAAAAAAGUUUCGCACAAAAGGUUCUUCGACUCUCCUGAAGAUUUCAAAUAUUAUGGUAGCGUGUCCCAAAAGUGUCCCCUCCGAAAUCAACUUUAAAUGUAUAUAUCGCCAUUUUUGGAAUCCUUGGUUAAAAUAAAGGUCACUUUCUUAAGAAAGAACGAUGUCGUUUUUUUUGGACUCUCUUUCAAAGAAUCAGCCCCGCUCCUGGACGUCGUAGACAUGUUGAACGAUACCAAGGUCGUUUUCUUGAACGCCUUUACGAAGCAUACGCGCUAUUUUUAGACACCAUCUUAACCGUAUAAAAAGUAUUAGAAAACGAUCCUUUUUUUCGACGCCUUCUCGAAGAACCUCAGGGGUAGGCGUGCUUUUGGACACCAAAGUAUGAUGAUCCCUUCCAGACCAAAAAAUUCCGGACGUAAACUAGUCUCCCAUUCGGAUGUCCGGGUGGAGACUGGUCGAGGGGGCUCCUCACGACAAAUUAAAGAUCGACUUCUGCAACAUCAGGGGCCUCAAUACCAACAUUAAUGCAGUACAUCAACAUCUCCAGCAACAGAGGCCCCAUAUUCUCACGCUAUCUGAGACACAACUUAAGGCUUCGACCAAUCGCCCCCAUCUUCAACUACCAAAGUACGAAUUCCACAACAAAUUCAGAUUUAAAAGGGGAGUAUGUGUCUAUACCCGAUUGCUCCAAUGUCCGAGUGGAUCGAAAAAUUUUACAACCUCAACAUUCCCACCUUCGGUUCCACCUUAGAUGAUCAGGGAAAUGAACCUCCAAGUAUCCCUAGAGUUGAUACAACUAUGCCAGAAGUUGUUUUCAGACCUGGAUAUUACUAAGGCUUCCGGCCCAGAUGGCAUUCCAGUUCUUGUUUUGCGCCACUGAACUAACUCCCGUCUUCUGUAAACUUUUUACGAUAUUACACAGACAGGGAAUCUGUCCUACUAUCUGCAAGACUGCAAGAGUGCAGCCCGUGCCCAAAAAGCGAAAGAAAACAACAUUAAUGUUGAGAUCCUAAAAUAUCUAGAGACCAAUAAAAUAAUAUCUGACAAACAAUAUGGCUUUCGCCAUAAGCUGGUGAUCUACUGGCCUACUUCACUCAUGUUUGGAAUACGGUUAUGGAGGGAUUUGGAGAGUCGAAGGUGGUUGCGCUAGAUAUCUCGAAGGCUUUUGACCGCGUAUGGCAUCGGUCACUCUUGAAAAAGUUGCGGGCAUACGGGCAACCACCGGCACUUUGCGAAUGGAUAUCUGAUUUCUUGAAUGGUAGAUCUCUCUCCCUCGUGGUGGAUGGAGUAUCUUCUAAUACACACACCAUUAGCGCUGGAGUGCCUCAGGGAUCUGUUCUGUCACCUACAUCAUUCCUUUUACACAUCUACUUUUCGUCACAAGCAAUCCCAUCUAUAGCUAUGCCGACGACAGCAGCCUUGUCUCUUCCUUUUCAUCCAACAAGCCCUUAACAUCUGCUUCCUUAAUUCAACGAAGACAACACCAAAUUGGGUCAAUAAAUAACGAUCUGGAGGAAAUACUGAUGUGGGGUCGAAAGAACCUGGUUGAAUUUAAUGCUAAGAAGACCCAGGUAUGCACUUUCACUCGGAAAGUCAUAAAUGAGCAGGAAUCCGGCAUUGUCAUGGAUGGGAACAGUUUGCCUCUGUCGUCUUCCCUGUCUCUCCUGGGAGUUAAUGCGAGCACUAAUUUCUCCUGGCACGAGCACGUCGUUGGUUUGGCAAAGAUCGCCGCCCAGAGAUUGGGCUUUCUGUUCCGUGCUAAAAGAUAUUUCACGCCUGCACAGCUUCUUACUCUCCACAAAGCACAAGUUAUGGAGUGUUGUUCUCAUAUUUGGAGCUCAGCCCCUAAGCAUACUUUGAAAUUUUGGACUCCAUUCAGAGAAGAGCUGUGCGUCUUGUCGACGAUCCGGCACUGACCGGCUCCCUGCAAUCACUCAGUCAUAGAAGAAGGGUUGGCGAUUUAUCUUUGUUCUAUAGAUACUUUCAUGGGCAAGGUUCCGACCAGCUUACUGAGCUCAUUCCACCAAGAGCGAGGUUUGGUGGUUCUACUCGCCAGGCAGCACCAGCACAUCGCUUGCGGCUCGAAACCCCGCGAAUGUCAGUAUACUAAAACUCAUACUUCUGGCGAGUACAAAGCUUAUGGAAUUCUCUUCCAGAGGUUCAAAAGAGCAGUCAAUAAACACCUUUCUUCUCCUCCUCGCAGUGUCACCUAGUGCACCAUAGGCUUGUCCUUUGCGAGUGGAUUUCGAUAAAAAAAAAAUCUCCAAGUGGCUGCGGCUCCAUCGGCGCAGUCCGGGUAAUUUUUUUCGACCGCCGCGUACGCCUUCGUGCCACAAACGAGAUACGUAAUGAACUUCGCGCGUUUUCGUUAUUAAUUACCUAGGUGGCCAUUACUUAUUCUUGCACAAUUCGGAACGGCCUUACGGGUGUCUAGGGCGUUGAUCCCGCACGCAAACCGUAAUUACGCUCAUUUCGCAAGUGACAUUCAACUUAAUUUUUAUCAAGUAAAGCGUUUAUUUAACAUCAAUUAUUGUUAUUAUUACCGGCCGUCUGUUUUGCGGUAAAUCGCGGGUUCGAAUUUGGAACGCAACCGUGAUUGGUCGCGAAGUGUUAAAAUUUUGAACCGGGCGGAGAUUUUAAACAGCCUUAUAAUACGACCAAAAAUAUAGCGCAUUUAUUGCUUUGACGUUUCAAGUAUCUUACAGUACCUUAACCGCAGACCUUCGCCCAUCCCAACAGAUGUUUAUUAUGCACUAAUUGGGUCUUGCUUGAGGUGGACCGUAACGAAUAUUUGUAGAACUUGAAAUUUUUAUUUGAAACGUAAAUGGGACCGUUUUAAAUUUGAUUAAGCGCUGAUGCUACGGGGUAUUUUCGAACACGUAGAAGAAUUUAUUUUAACGUCAGGUGAUAUGUAUCGUUCUUAAGAGUUUAAUCUAAAUUGCAAUAUGUUCGUAUAUAAUGGGUGUUUUUUUUUCGAUGUAUAGAACUUUAAGUUGGCAUUACUGUUCAAGAUGGCGAUCGAUUUAACAGCUGUCAAGUGAUUUAUUCUCAGUUUGGUUUGGCAAUUCAUCAUGAAUAGACUUACGCCUGAACAACGCUUACAAAUAGUGUAAUUUUAUUUCCUACGUCCAUUUUAUCGUCUACAAAAUCGUAAAUCACAGCAGUUAAUUCGAUUAUCCGUGGAACGUUUUCGCACCACGUUUACUCUUAUUGAUAACUCGCAUCCCCAGAGACGCCGUACGAUGCGUACAGAAGAAGCUAUUGCUGCUGUAGAGCGUAGCAUUGAAGAAGACCCGAAUGAGUCCGUCCGCCAUCGAGCACAAGAAUUGGAUCUGUGUCCAUCCACUUUAUGGAAGAUUUUGCGGAAGGAUCUUGGUUUACGUGCUUACAAAAUCCAACUCGUGCAAGAAUUGAAGUCAAACGAUCAUCAAGUAAGGCGUAGGUUCGUCGAAUGGGCCCAAAACGAGAUUGCCGUUGUUCCCGAUUUUCAUAAGCGUUGAAGCGCACUUCUGGUUGAAUGGCCACGUCAACAAACAAAACUGCCGCAUUUGGAGCGAAGCUAAUCCUCAAGUGUAUGUCGAAACACCGUUACAUCCAGAAAAACUGACUGUUUGGUGCGCUUUAUGGGCUGGUGGAAUCAUUGGUCCGUAAUUCUUCAAAAACGAUGAUGGCCAGAACGUUACAGUCAAUGAUGAUCGGUAUAGAGCUAUGAUUACUAACCCUUUCAUUCCUGAAUUGAAUAACCAUGAUGUCUGAUCGAUUUAUUGAAAGACACGUUUGGAGUAUAUUUAGACAAAACGUGGUUCGACAUUCACGUUACAGUAAAAAAGGGAUGGAAACGCAUAAUCAUGAUUCAUGCUGGGUACAAAAAUGGUUGGAUGGAAGAUGCCUUAUUUUUGUCUGCCAAAAACGUCAAAGAUUCAAGUGUGGAUUACCGUGAAAACAUGACCGCGGAAAUAUUUGAGGACUGUUGACACCAUUAUUGUGUUGGAUAAUACCUGGUAUCAUUCAACACAAAUUAGAAAAAUACUUCUUCAAAUAAAGAAGAAAUUAAAGAAUUUCUGUACGAAAAUGUUAUAUAUUUUGAAGAGAGCUAUACGAAAAAACAACUUCUGGAAUUAUUUUAAUUAAGACUACAAAAUCGAUGAAAUCUUGAAAAUACCCCCAUUAACAUUACGCAUUUAACCCAAUUAACAUGAUUUGGUCUGAGUUGAAAGCGCAUAUAAGAAGAAACAACACUGCACCAAAAUUUAGUAAUAGUACCAUAAACAAAGCUGGUCUGUCUAACUGUGAAAAACGAGUACUAAAACACAGAAAAUAUUUAUCGAGAACGAUUAGUGGCGGUGAACAAGCUGACGACAGCAGCGAUAGUGGCGAUUUUUCAAGUGACUGAUACUUUAUUAUUAUUAUAUUUAAUAUUUUGUGUAUUAAUGGUGAUACUAUGUAGAAAUGUAAUGAAAAUGAACGGAAUAAAUUGUUACUUUGUACUAAUUUUUUUAUGCACAGGUUUCAAAAAUUGCUCGACGAAAAAGAUUGAAAAUAUACUUAUACCCGGCUUGUUAGUGUAGGUAGAUAAAUUCCUAGGACGGAAUGGUUACG